rnacentral:misc_RNA from 1 species
UACAAAUUGACGCCUCAUCUUCUGGUUCACCUUUACCGUAUUAUGGAAUGUUGAGAUGAGGGAGUACCCACUUUUAGUAAUGAAGGAGAGCAAUACCAUAGAAAGGCAAAGAGUGAUGAUUGGAGCUAUUGCUUGGUGGUUGGUUUUGAAUAUGAGGGUGAUGGUUUGAGUUAAGGGAGUGAGGGAGAACGAAAAGGAGGAGGGGAAGGGAGGUGAUGAUAAAGAUUAAUAGAUAACCACAGCAGACUAGAGAUUGAG